AUAAAAUGGCAUUUUGGCUAAGAUCAUGUGUAGUAUCUGUUCUUGUCAGCUUAAUGUCUGGCAUGCUGGGCAUUGCCUGGCACCAAUAUUGAAAUUAUUUUUUCCCGAGUUGACACCGAAGCUUGCUUCAGUUGAUUCACGGAUUGUUCCGGUCUUACACUAUCAUCGGGUACGGUCCACCUUAA